GCUCAAAUAGCUCAGUUGGUAGAGCAUGAUCCUCUUAAUCUUAAGAUUGUGAGUGCAAGCCCCACAUUGGACA